CAAAGUAUAGCUUAAAUAAAGCAUCUCGCUUACACCGAAAAAACAUCUGUUAGUAUCAGAUUACUUUGA
rnacentral:tRNA from 1 species